UACGUAGGGGGCAAGCGUUGUCCGGAAUUAUUGGGCGUAAAGCGCGCGCAGGCGGCUUGUUAAGUCUGGUGUUUAAGCCCGGAGCUCAACUUCGGGACGCACGGGAAACUGGCAGGCUUGAGUGCAGGAGAGGAAAGUGGAAUUCCACGUGUAGCGGUGAAAUGCGUAGAGAUGUGGAGGAACACCAGUGGCGAAGGCGACUUUCUGGCCUGUAACUGACGCUGAGGCGCGAAAGCGUGGGGAGCAAACAGG
rnacentral:rRNA from 1 species